GGAGGUUUGGGGGAGGUAACAUAUGGUGGUAGUUAAGAGCCCGUAAUUGGGAAGGAGACAGACCCAAGUUCAAUUAAGUCCUGGUUCUGCGUGACCUUUGGUAGUUUCCUUAAGCUCUUUGGAUCUCAAUUUCUUCACCAGUAGAAUGAGGUCAGUCAUACCUAACUCAGAGGGUUUUUGUAUCUUUUCAAUGAGAUAAUGCACAUAAACAUGUACUUUAUUCAGUGCUGCAUGUACUGAAUGUUCAUAUGUGGCUGUCAUUGUGGAUGAUGCUUAUUGAAGGUGAGAGCAGAUUUUCUGGGCAGACCCACCCCUAGCAGUUUUAUCUAUUUCCUGUAGAGCUGCCCCUCCUCCCACACCACUCAGGCCAGGAGGGAAGGAGAGGGCAGUGCUGCCUGGUACAUGGGGUCUCAGAGGGCCACGUCCUAGGUUUGACAUGGGUGGAGAUAUCAUGCAUGUGUCUCGGGAGACAGGUUCAGCCAGCUUUUCUUCUCUCACUGGGAGAUACUGGUCAAGAUGGGACAGAGUCUUGAAAGUUCUUUCUUUAGGAAGAAAGACACUACCAUUUACUGUAUACCUACGAUGUGCCAGGUACCAUGCUGGGUGCUAUUCCACGUGAGCUCUUUUUACCUUCCCAGCAGUCCUGUGAAGUAGCUCUUGGCAUCCCCAGUGCACGAGACAAGGAGAAAAUGAGCGACUUUCCCAAGGACACAGAGUGGGCCCCAGGUUCCUGGCCCAUGGAUCAUCUACCACAUUCCUGGUAAUGGUCCAGUCAACUGUGGCUAUGGAGAGGGGUCCCCUACUGCUGGCCCUUUGGUUGCCUUGAUGGACAUAAGGAUAGUGUGAUUCACAUGUCUUCAGAGCCCUCUGUCUGCUUGCUGUAGUGGGGAGACAGAGGAGGGUCUGAGUGUCCUUCCUGCACUGACUAUCUUUCACCAGGAAUGAAUUCUGAGCUCACGUUCUGGACCGCUGCCAGGAAGAAGGAAGCGGCGUUAGUAUAAAGAAUCACACAAAAGGCCGCAGGAAGUUGCCACCUCAUUCUACAUACACACUGGGAGCUACUUCUUUGAGAGCCCCCAAGUUUAAAGGAAAAGCUCCCUUUCCUUUGGGGAGCCUACUGGGGACAAUUCCCCCACCUGACCCAGGAUCCUAGAGGAAGAGGAAGACAGCAACAGAUGUGAGGAGGAGAAGGACCCCUCCCUGCCCCAUGCUCAGGGGCCUCUGCUCCCUAACCCGUUGAUGUUUCUUCAGCUGUAUGCCUUUGAGAUGUUGGCCAGGAGUGACCAACAAAGUGACUCCUCAAAGCUACGAAGAAGCAAGCCUGCCCCCAGACCUGGUGGUUCAGGACCAUGGAGAGCAUCCUACAUAGUGUCCUGGAGAGGAGACUUACUGCUAUCAUCCCCAUUUUACAGAAGCUGAUGAAAUCCAGGAAGUCUGGAGCACACAUCCCCUCACCAUCAGGGCAGAAGCUCAGCCUGGUCAGAGAGAAAGGAAAGUUGCUUUGAUGUCCUCUCACCUAGACUAUUCAUUCCCCUGAGAAGCAAGAGGAGUCAAGGAAGAUAGAGUCAUGUGGGAGGACAUAACGUGCUCUUCAAGUCCUGAUGCUGCAUCCCCACUGCUGUGUGAUCUCAAACAAGUCACUUAACCUCUCUGAGCCUUGGUUUCCUCAUCUGUAAAAUGGAGCUAAUAAUACCACCUCUGUUACUGAACAGAAUUUCUAAAAGUCCCAAGCAGAUGUUGUCAGUAUGCAAGGGAAGACAAAAUAUGGGGAGGGAGGGUGAGAACAGGUUGCCCUACCUGGUCACCAUAGCUGCCUGAUGGAGGAAGGAGAUUCAGAGGAUAACAGAGAUUGGAUACGGAGAUUGUGAAACCCAGGAUAGGAAGCAAAAGGGCCCAACUCAGGGAGCCUUGCUGGGAAGGGCCCCUGGAAUUCAUGGACCACGCUUGCUGAGAACCCACCGGAAGAAAUGACACAGUACUGCAGUAUGAAGGACUCAGGUCAGACUGUAAACAGACUUCCAGCCAGUCAGGCAACAACAAGGCCACUCCCUCCUGGGGUCUUUGGCUAUGCCUGAGCAAAAUCUCCCCGGUGGAGAGGCUAAGCCUGACUGCAGGAAGCAAUGCAGAAGGAUGGACAGGGCAACCCCAAAGAUGCUUCUGCAGGGCCAGAGAAGGAGGCCAGAGUAGUCUGGCAGAUCCUCCCCGGGGUUCUCUUUCAAGCCUUGUCCUCUGGAGGCCUUUCAGAACCUAUCCUGACCUUGAAGGGAAGUCACUGGGCCUGUUCUGGAGCAGGGGCCACGUCCUCACAGACAUGCCCAGGUCAGCAUCAGGCCACAACUCUAUUAUUUAAAAGGAUUCCAUAAAAGAGCAAACCUCCGGGCCUGGAAGAAUGGCCGGGAUCCUGACUCUUCCUGCACAGGAAAUGCAGCGGCUGUGCCGGAGCCCUGGUUUGACCUGCUGAGGACUCAGAGCUCCUGCAGAUUCCCAGCCUGAAGAGGCUCCACUGUUGAGAUGAUGACACCUGGGCCAGACUGGGCUCCUCCCUUCCAGACUGAGCUGAGACCUACCACCAGACCAACUGCUUGUGGACUUUGCAGUGAUUUUAUUGUGAUUUCCUAGUUGUCGCAGUUAGUAGCAUUAGUUUGUUAAUUACUGUAUAUUUUGAAAGUAAGAGAAAAGGGAAUUCCCACCGGAGAUUUGUUCUUGGCUGAAACAAUGUGAUGUGAGGGAAGGGAGAGUUUGCACAGGGCGGGAAGGGGGGAUAGUAAUGAGCUUGCUCUGCUGGUUUCUGCUCCUCCUGACAGGGCCUGGGGCCAGAGAUGGGGCUGCUUGGAGAGGCAGGGGCCCUGGCAGAGCCAAGCCCCUCCCUCCUCUGCAGCACCACUUCUCAGUCCCCAAACCUCUGCAGCAGCCCCCUGCCACCCCCCCCCCCCCCCAACCCCUGCACUAUUAUCAGAGUGAGGCAUCAGGCCUAAGGGGUUUGGAGCUGCGGGAAGGGCCCUGAGGCUGAAGGAACCAGACCUGAGUGAAAUAAGACACUGAGGAAACCGGCCUGUGACAGGGGGCAGUUGAUUGAAUAGGAUGGAGUUUUUCAUUAGGAAACGAAGCUGGAAUUUCGGGAGAGGCUCUUGCAUUUAAAUUCAGCAAGAGACUACAUCCCUAGAGGGAGAAUGGGGGAGUAGCUACUGAGGUUGUGCACAGAGACCUGGCUAGGGAGGCCACAGGGCCUGAUUCUCGGCCCUCACUUUGCUAGCCAUGUGGGAGUGUGGCAGGCCCUGGCUGCCCAGAGGAAAGGUGCCUUUUGAUAAUCUGUCCAACAGGAGGGGUUCACUGUGUGCUGUGCGGCCCUGCGUGUUCAAGCUCCCCUCAUUCCCCAGAGUCAUAGAAAACGGAAGCUGGGAUGGGGCCAGGGACCCUGGAGGAGUUGGGGGCAGAGGUUGGAGAGAA